UGCCACUGAUACUGGACUAAUUCUUCAUUUAGUAUUUAUCCGUUUAAAACCACUUUUGACGUAUCUGUUGAGGGAGUAGGUUUCUGAAAUCAGAAUGUUUCGAUUAUUCCUCGUUGCGGCAGCUGUCUUGGUCGCAGUCAGCGCCGUAUGUAACGACUUUGACAUCCAGUAUGGCUGUCUCCAGAACGUUGAUGGCCAACUCAACGUGUGUAAGGCUGGCUGCUCCAGGGUGCGGGCUGCCCUGCUGCAGUGUGAGAUAGACUGUCUACAGAAGGCAUAUGGACGACUCGUCAGCUGCAUCACGCUGGAGUAAAGCACCGCUCCAGUAAAUCUUGGUUGUCUUUUUUGCAAAAACUUGAUAUAAAUUUAAAAUUGUGUGAUUCUAACGGACAUUUUUGAGUUUUGAUUCUAACAUGUAGCUGUGAAUUAAUUCUCAAGAUAUGGAUUGCAAUGCAAUAAGAUUAAUACAGGUGACAUAACACUUUUUAAUUUUAUUUCCAAUAUAGUAUGAUUCUAUAUAUGCAAUUCUUGCUACACAUAUAUGCCUAUCAUUUAAUAAAGGGCGAUAUGAGAUA